UCCUCGAUGGUCUAGUGGUGAUGAUUUCCGCUUGUCAUUUGUAAUAUUGUGUUUGCCAAGCGCGGGAGACCAGGGUUCGAUUCCCUGUCGGGGAG
rnacentral:tRNA from 1 species